CAGAAUUCGAAGCCGGUCGGACACAGUUAAGUUCUGUGAAGUACGAGUGUCGAAUAGAUAUGAGUGCAGCCAGAGCGCGCGAGUUGAGUCGAGUUGACUUAAGCUGAGUCGCGUGUGUGCGCGCACCAGCGAAGCGCGAGUAACUAAGCACUGCGACUAGGAAACUUGCGUAUAUUAUUCUCCCGCGCGUACACUUCCACCAAUUCCAACAAUCCAACUAGGCAGUGGAUGAAGGUUGGUGUGCACAUGGAGCAUGAGCACCGAAUGUCAACAUCAACAAUAUCAACCGAGAUGCUGAUGGGUAAGCGCAUCAAGGCGAGGAGCAGUGGAGACUGAGUGUCAAUGUGGCUCGCACAUGUAGUCUAUGUAUCGAACACAUGCGCGGAGUGUAGGCAGGCAGAGAUGAAAAACAUCUAUUGUUUGAUACGAAUUUUUUGUUUAAAAUAAGAUAACUUGGAAACUACGCCUGAUACUGAGAUGAAACAAACACUAUUUUAGAGAUAAUUUAAUUGUGAUUUGGAUUGACGUAAAUGGUUCUACUUAAAAUUUUAGUAAACAAUAUUUUAAUGAGAAUUUUUGGUUUUUAAAUUUUUAUUUUUAUCAAUAUGUAACUAUUGUACCACUUCUUAUUUAUUAUUUAAAAUGUUACGUAAUAUAGACUAUUUAAUUAGGAUUAGAAUGAAUGUUUAAACAAUUAAAUAUGUUAUUAACUUUG